rnacentral:rRNA from 1 species
ACAGCAGUCGCCACGGGAAUACGAAGGGGGCUAGCGUUGCUCGGAAUGACUGGGCGUAAAGGGCGCGUAGGCGGCGGCCAAAGUCAGGCGUGAAAUUCCCGGGCUCAACCUGGGGGCUGCGUUUGAUACUUGGUUGCUUGAGUGGGGAAGAGGGUCGUGGAAUUCCCAGUGUAGAGGUGAAAUUCGUAGAUAUUGGGAAGAACACCGGUGGCGAAGGCGGCGACCUGGUCCUUUACUGACGCUGAGGCGCGAAAGCGUGGGGAGCAAACAGGAUUAGAUACCCCGGUAGUCCCUGUCUCUUAUAC